GAUGAACGCUGGCGGCGUGCCUAAUACAUGCAAGUCGAGCGAACAGACGAGGAGCUUGCUCCUCUGACGUUAGCGGCGGACGGGUGAGUAACACGUGGAUAACCUACCUAUAAGACUGGGAUAACUUCGGGAAACCGGAGCUAAUACCGGAUAAUAUAUUGAACCGCAUGGUUCAAUAGUGAAAGACGGUUUUGCUGUCACUUAUAGAUGGAUCCGCGCCGCAUUAGCUAGUUGGUAAGGUAACGGCUUACCAAGGCAACGAUGCGUAGCCGACCUGAGAGGGGGAUCGGCCACACUGGAGCUGAGACACGGUCCAGACUCCUACGGGAGGCAGCAGUAGGGAAUCUUCCGCAAUGGGCGAAAGCCUGACGGAGCAACGCCGCGUGAGUGAUGAAGGUCUUCGGAUCGUAAAACUCUGUUAUUAGGGAAGAACAAAUGUGUAAGUAACGAUGCACGUCUUGACGGUACCGAAUCAGAAAGCCACGGCUAACUACGU
rnacentral:rRNA from 1 species